GGAUUUAUUUCACAAAGUGGCUGC
rnacentral:siRNA from 1 species